rnacentral:rRNA from 1 species
UUAGCCCAGCCAAUAAACAUGCAAGUCGAGCGAGUCCUUCGGGGGCUAGCGGCGGACGGGUGAGUAACACGUAGUGCAACCUGCCCGUAAGCUCGGGAUAACAUGGGGAAACUCAUGCUAAUACCGGAUAGGGUCUUCUCUCGCAUGAGAGGAGACGGAAAGGUGGCGCAAGCUACCACUUACGGAUGGGCCUGCGGCGCAUUAGCUAGUUGGUGGGGUAACGGCCUACCAAGGCGACGAUGCGUAGCCGACCUGAGAGGGUGACCGGCCACACUGGGACUGAGACACGGCCCAGACUCCUACGGGAGGCAGCAGUAGGGAAUUUUCCACAAUGGACGAAAGUCUGAUGGAGCAACGCCGCGUGAACGAUGAAGGUCUUCGGAUUGUAAAGUUCUGUUGUCAGAGACGAACAAGUACCGUUCGAACAGGGCGGUACCUUGACGGUACCUGACGAGAAAGCCACGGCUAACUACGUGCCAGCAGCCGCGGUAAUACGUAGGUGGCAAGCGUUGUCCGGAAUUAUUGGGCGUAAAGCGCGCGCAGGCGGCUAUGUAAGUCUGGUGUUAAAGCCCGGGGCUCAACCCCGGUUCGCAUCGGAAACUGUGUAGCUUGAGUGCAGAAGAGGAAAGCGGUAUUCCACGUGUAGCGGUGAAAUGCGUAGAGAUGUGGAGGAACACCAGUGGCGAAGGGCGGCUUUCUCGUCUGUAACUGACGCUGAGCGCGAAAGCGUGGGGUAGCAAACCAGGGAUUAGAUACCCUGGUAGUCCACGGUCGUAAAACGAUGAGUUGCUAGUGUGGGGGUUUCAAGUACCCUCGUGCGCAUCUAAGACCAAAUAAGCAUCUCCGCUGGGGAGUACGCUCCGCGAGAGUGAACCUCGAAUAUGAUGACGGGGUCGGCUACCAUCGUGGGACCGUUGGUCCAUUCGAUCACGCGAAAGAACCGUUGACCAGAUCCUG